CGUGUGGCACGCUACCCGCCGCGCGCGCAUCCUGUCCCCCGCCCUCGGAAUCCCAGCACGGGGGCCGAGCCCCGAGCUACAUUCCUCCUCCUCCUUCUUCGCCACCCAAAGACUCACGCAUACACACAUUUUUCUUUCGUAUCUGCUGUCUCAGCCUCCCUCGGGCCAAUUUGGGUAAAUGCGUCCAAGAGGAAGAAAUAAAAAUGAAAAGACUGACAGUUUAAAAGCAUGUGGAGGGCUUAGAAGAUAAAGACGAGUGCAAGAAAGGGAGAGCGCGGCCGGCCGCGGUGUCUCACGCCUGUCAUCCUAGCACUUUGGGAGGCCGAAGAGAUCGGAUCACUUGAGGUCCGGAGUUCAAAUCCAGCCUGGCCAACAUGGUGAAACCCCGUCUCUACUAAAAAUACAAAAAAAUUAGCCGGACCUGGUGGCGGGCGUCUGUAAUGCCAGCUACUCGGGAGGCUGAGGCGGGAGAAUCGCUUGAACCCGGGAGGCGGAGGUUGCAGUGAGCCGAGAUCGCGCCACUGCAUUCCAGCCUGGGCAACAGACUGAGACCCUGCCUCAAAAGAAAAAAAGAAAAAAAAAAAAGGAGAGCGCGUACUGUUGCGGAAGGGGCACUGCUCGAGAAACAGAGACGAAGGGAUGAUUUUCAAGUAAUCAAGACACCGAGAAAGACAAGAUUGGGGAUGGAAGAGCAGUAAGAAUUAAUGGAGACGUCCAAGAAUUGUAGUUCGGGCGCGGUGGCUCAUGCCUGUAAUCCCAGCACUUUGGGAGGCUGAGGUUAGUGGAUCACCUGAGGUCAGGAGUUCGAGACCAGCCUGUCCAAAUGGCGAAACCCCAUCUCUACUAAAAAAUACAAAAAUUAGCCGAGCAUGGUGGCGCACGCCUGUAAUCCCAGCUACUGGGGAAGCUGAGUCAGGAGAAUAGCUUGAACCUGGGAGGUGGGAGGUGGAGGUUGCAGUUAACCGAGCCACUGCAUUUCAGGUUAGGUGACAGAGUGAGGCUAUGUCUCCAAAAAAAAAAAAAAAAAAAAAAAAAAGAAGAAGAAGAAAAGCAAAUGGGUAGUUUGUUUUGCAUGCUUCUUGCCAGGCAGAAAAGGUGCUUGAGAGGAGAAAGAAGUGGAAAACUGGAAAGGGGGGGAAUCUAAAUCAAGGACUUUAUUUUCCUUACUGUUGAGUUGUAAAUACAGUCCUCCUUUGACAUUUAUCUUCCCCUUUUUCUAUGGUUUAAAAACAGGUGAUUUGGCUGGGCAUGGUGGCUCACACCUGUAAUCCCAGCAGUUUGGGAGGCCAAGGCAGGCGGAUCACUUGAGAUUACGAGUUCAAAGACCAGCUUGGUCAACAUGGUGAAACCCUGUCUCUACUAAAAAUACAAAAAUUAGCUGGGUGUGGUGGCAGGCACCUGUAGUCCCAGCUACUCGGGAGUCUAAGGCAGGAGAAUCGCUUAAACCCAGGAGGUGGAGGUUGCAGUGAGCCGAGAUCGCACCAUUGCACUCCAGCCUGGGAGACAGAGUGAGACUCCGUCUCAAAAGCAAAACAAAACAAACAAAAAACAACGUGAUUUAUAUAUCAUGGCGUUGUAUUUAUGUAUUAUGUAGUUUUUUUUCUUUUGACACAGGGUCUCACCCUGUUGCCCAGACUGGAGUGUAGCAGAGCGAUCACGGCUUCACUGCAGCCUCAGACUCCUGGGUUGAAACAACCCUCCCACCUUCCUGAAUACCAGCUAUUGUCCCAGCUUCCUGAAUACCUGGGACAAUAGUUGGGACUAUGGGCACAACUGUCUUGGGACUAAAUUUGUAUUUUAUUUUAUUUUAUUUUUAUUUUUUAGAGACGGAGUUUCGCUCUUAUUGCCCAGGCUGGAGUGCAGUGGCGCGAUCUAGGUUUACUGCAACCUACGCCUCCCGGGUUCAAUCGAUUAUCCUGCCUCAGACUCCGGAGUCGCUGGGAUUGCAGGCAUGCACAACCACUCCUGGCUAAUUUUUUUUUUUUUUUUUUUUUUUUUUGAGACGGAAUCUUGCUCUGUUGCCCAGGCUGGAGUGCAGUGGCACCAUCUCGGCUCACUGCAGCCUCCGCCUCCCGGGUUCAACCGAUUCUCCUGCCUCACCCUCCCAAGCAGCUGGGACUACAGGCGCGUGCCAGCACGCCCAGAUAAUUUUUUUUUGUAUUUUUAGUGGAGACGGGGUUUCACCAUAUUGGCCAGGCUGGUCUCAAACUUCUGACCUCGUAAUCCACCCGCCUCAGCCUCCCAAAGUGCUGGGAUUACAAGCGUGAGCCACGGUGCCUGGCGGCUAAUUUUGUGUUUUUAGUAGAGAUGGGGUUUCUCCAUGUUGGUCAGGCUGUUUUGGAAUUCCCGACCUCAGGUGAUCGGCCCGCCUUGGCCUCCGAAAGUGCUGAGAUUACAGGCGUGAGCCACCGCGGCCAGCCUGUAUUUUAUUUUUUGUAGAAUCAGUGUUGCGCUAGGUUGCUCAGGCUGGCCUCUAACAUCUAGGCUCAAGGGAUCCUUCCUGCCUCUGCCUUCAGAGUAGCUAGAAUUACAGACACACAUCACCAUGCCCAGCUUUGUUUGCUUGUUUUGAGAUAGGAUUGGCUGGUUUUGAACUCAUGGACUCAAGCUAUCCUCCUGCCUCAGCCUUCCAAAGCGGUAGGAUUACAGGUGUGGACCACCGCUCCCAGCCUGUAUUUUAUUUUUUAUGCACUUGGUAGUGCCCCUUCAUGACACUUAACAUAAACUUUCAGCCAGGAACAGUGGUUCCCACCUGUAAUCUUUGCCCAGGUGGGAGGAUUGCUUGAGCCUACAAGUUUGAGACUAGCUUGGGCAAUAUAGUGAGACGCCAAUCUCUAUCUUUAAAAAACUAAAACAUUAGUCCGGGCGCAGUGGCUCACGCCUAUAAUUUCAGUACUUUGGAGGCCGAGGCGGGUGGAUCACCUGUGAGGUCGGGAGUUUGAGACCAGCCUGACCAACAUGGAGAAACCCCAUCUCUACUAAAAAUACAAAAUUAGCUGGGCGUGGUGGUGCACGCCUGUAAUCCCAGCUGCUCGGGAGGCUGAGG
rnacentral:lncRNA from 1 species